rnacentral:rRNA from 1 species
UACGGGGGGAGCAAGCGUUGUUCGGAUUUACUGGGCGUAAAGGGCGCGUAGGCGGUCGUGACAAGUCACUUGUGAAAUCUCCGGGCUUAACUCGGAACGGUCAAGUGAUACUGUCGGACUAGAGUACAGAAGGGGCAACUGGAAUUCUCGGUGUAGCGGUGAAAUGCGUAGAUAUCGAGAGGAACACCUGGCGGCGAAGGCGGGUUGCUGGGCUGAUACUGACGCUGGAUGUG